AGUGAACGCUGGCGGUAGGCCUAACACAUGCAAGUCGAACGGCAGCACAGUAAGAGCUUGCUCUUACGGGUGGCGAGUGGCGGACGGGUGAGGAAUACAUCGGAAUCUACUUUUUCGUGGGGGAUAACGUAGGGAAACUUACGCUAAUACCGCAUACGACCUACGGGUGAAAGCAGGGGAUCUUCGGACCUUGCGCGAUUGAAUGAGCCGAUGUCGGAUUAGCUAGUUGGCGGGGUAAAGGCCCACCAAGGCGACGAUCCGUAGCUGGUCUGAGAGGAUGAUCAGCCACACUGGAACUGAGACACGGUCCAGACUCCCAAGGGAGGCCGCAGUGGGGAAUAUUGGACAAUGGGCGCAAGCCUGAUCCAGCCCUACCGCGUGGGUGAAGAAGGCCUUCGGGUUGUUAAGCCCUUUUGUUGGGAAAGAAAAGCAGCCGGUUAAUAACCCGCUGUUCUGACGGUAACCAAAGAAUAAGCACCGGCUAACUUCGUG
rnacentral:rRNA from 1 species